CAGUCGAGCGGUAGAGAGGUGCUUGCACCUCUUGAGAGCGGCGGACGGGUGAGUAAAGCCUAGGAAUCUGCCUGGUAGUGGGGGAUAACGCUCGGAAACGGACGCUAAUACCGCAUACGUCCUACGGGAGAAAGCAGGGGACCUUCGGGCCUUGCGCUAUCAGAUGAGCCUAGGUCGGAUUAGCUAGUUGGUGAGGUAAUGGCUCACCAAGGCGACGAUCCGUAACUGGUCUGAGAGGAUGAUCAGUCACACUGGAACUGAGACACGGUCCAGACUCCUACGGGAGGCAGCAGUGGGGAAUAUUGGACAAUGGGCGAAAGCCUGAUCCAGCCAUGCCGCGUGUGUGAAGAAGGUCUUCGGAUUGUAAAGCACUUUAAGUUGGGAGGAAGGGCAUUAACCUAAUACGUUAGUGUUUUGACGUUACCGACAGAAUAAGCACCGGCUAACUCUGUGCCAGCAGCCGCGGUAAUACAGAGGGUGCAAGCGUUAAUCGGAAUUACUGGGCGUAAAGCGCGCGUAGGUGGUUCGUUAAGUUGGAUGUGAAAUCCCCGGGCUCAACCUGGGAACUGCAUUCAAAACUGUCGAGCUAGAGUAUGGUAGAGGG
rnacentral:rRNA from 1 species